rnacentral:rRNA from 1 species
AUUGAACGCUGGCGGCAUGCUUAACACGUGCAAGUCGAACGGCAGCACAGUGCGUAGCAAUACGCAUGGGUGGCGAGUGGCGGACGGGUGAGUAAUACGUGGGAACCUGCCCAAUAGUGGGGGAUAGCCCGGGGAAACUCGGAUUAAUACCGCAUACGCCCUUCGGGGGAAAGCGGGGGAUCGUAAGACCUCGCGCUUCUGGAUGGGCCCACGUGCGAUUAGCUAGUUGGUAGGGUAAAAGCCUACCAAGGCGACGAUCGGUAGCUGGUCUGAGAGGACGAUCAGCCACACUGGGACUGAGACACGGCCCAGACUCCUACGGGAGGCAGCAGUGGGGAAUCUUGGACAAUGGGGGAAACCCUGAUCCAGCAAUGCCGCGUGUGUGAAGAAGGCCUGCGGGUUGUAAAGCACUUUCAGUGGGGAAGAAAAGCUUCGUGCUAACACCACGGAGUUUUGACGUUACCCAAAGAAGAAGCACCGGCUAACUCUGUGCCAGCAGCCGCCGUAAAAC